CGCGCAAAUUACCCACUCCCGGCACGGGGAGGUAGUGACGAAAAAUAACGAUACGGGACUCAUCCGAGGCCCCGUAAUCGGAAUGAGUACACUUUAAACCCUUUAACGAGUAUCCAUUGGAGGGCAAGUCUGGUGCCAGCAGCCGCGGUAAUUCCAGCUCCAAUAGCGUAUAUUAAAGUUGUUGCGGUUAAAAAGCUCGUAGUUGGAUUUGUGUCCCACGCUGUCGGUUCACCGUUCGUCGGUGUUUAACUGGCAUGCCCGUGCGGACGUCCUGCCGGUGGAUGCGGUCGGCCGUAGGCCUCUGGUCUGCGCGUCGGCGGUCCGAUGCAAUCCUACCGCGGUGCUCUUCAUCGAGUGUCGAGGUGGGCCGGCACGUUUACUUUGAACAAAUUAGAGUGCUCAAAGCAGGCAGUGGUUCGCCUGAAUAUUGUGUGCAUGGAAUAAUGGAAUAGGACCUCGGUUCUAUUUUGUUGGUUUUCGGAACUUGAGGUAAUGAUUAAUAGGGACAGACGGGGGCAUUCGUAUUGCGACGUUAGAGGUGAAAUUCUUGGAUCGUCGCAAGACGAACCUAAGCGAAAGCAUUUGCCAUGAGUGUUUUCACUAAUCAAGAACGAAAGUUAGAGGUUCGAAGGCGAUCAGAUACCGCCCUAGUUCUAACCAUAAACGAUGCCAGCUAGCGAUCCGCCGAAGUUCCUCCGAUGACUCGGCGGGCAGCUUCCGGGAAACCAAAGCUUUUGGGUUCCGGGGGAAGUAUGGUUGCAAAGCUGAAACUUAAAGGAAUUGACGGAAGGGCACCACCAGGAGUGGAGCCUGCGGCUUAAUUUGACUCAACACGGGAAACCUCACCAGGCCCGGACACCGGAAGGAUUGACAGAUUGAGAGCUCUUUCUUGAUUCGGUGGGUGGUGGUGCAUGGCCGUUCUUAGUUGGUGGAGCGAU
rnacentral:rRNA from 1 species